rnacentral:rRNA from 1 species
AAGGGUGAGACCUGAUGCCGAGCCGAUUGUGGUGAAGUGGAUGAUCCUAUGCUGUCGAGAAAAGCCUCUAGCGAUGUUUCAUGGCGGCCCGUACCCUAAACCGACUCAGGUGGUCAGGUAGAGUAUACCGAGGCGUUCGGGUGAACUAUGGUUAAGGAACUCGGCAAAAUGCCCCCGUAACUUCGGGAGAAGGGGGGCCGCUUCCGGUGAUGGCCUUUACGGUCUGAGCUGGGGGUGGCCGCAGAGACCAGCGAGAAGCGACUGUUUACUAAAAACACAGGUCCGUGCGAAGCUGUAAGGCGAUGUAUACGGACUGACGCCUGCCCGGUGCUGGAACGUUAAGGGGACCGGUUAGUCACUCUUCGGGGUGGCGAAGCUGAGAACUUAAGCGCCAGUAAACGGCGGUGGUAACUAUAACCAUCCUAAGGUAGCGAAAUUCCUUGUCGGGUAAGUUCCGACCUGCACGAAUGGCGUAACGACUUCUCGACUGUCUCAACCAUAGGCCCGGUGAAAUUGCAUUACGAGUAAAGAUGCUCGUUUCGCGCAGCAGGACGGAAAGACCCCGGGACCUUUACUAUAGCUUGAUAUUGGUGUUCGGUUCGGCUUGUGUAGGAUAGGUGGGAGACUGUGAAGCGGCCACGCCAGUGGUUGUGGAGUCGUCGUUGAAAUACCACUCUGGUCGUGUUGGAUGUCUAACCUGGGUCCGUGAUCCGGAUCGGGGACAGUGUCUGGUGGGUAGUUUAACUGGGGCGGUUGCCUCCUAAAGAGUAACGGAGGCGCCCAAAGGUUCCCUCAGCCUGGUUGGUCAUCAGGUGGUGAGUGUAAGUGCACAAGGGAGCUUGACUGCGAGACUGACGGGUCGAGCAGGUGCGAAAGCAGGGACUAGUGAUCCGGCGGUGGCUUGUGGGAGCGCCGUCGCUCAACGGAUAAAAGGUACCCCGGGGAUAACAGGCUGAUCUUCCCCAAGAGUCCAUAUCGACGGGAUGGUUUGGCACCUCGAUGUCGGCUCGUCGCAUCCUGGGGCUGGAGUCGGUCCCAAGGGUUGGGCUGUUCGCCCAUUAAAGCGGCACGCGAGCUGGGUUUAGAACGUCGUGAGACAGUUCGGUCCCUAUCCGCUGCGCGCGUAGGAGUCUUGAGAAGGGCUGUCCCUAGUACGAGAGGACCGGGACGGACGGACCUCUGGUGUGCCAGUUGUUCUGCCAAGGGCAUGGCUGGUUGGCUACGUUCGGGAGGGAUAACCGCUGAAAGCAUCUAAGCGGGAAGCCUGCUUCGAGAUGAGGACUCCCACCCCCUUGAGGGGUUAAGGCCCCCUGUAGACGACGGGGUUGAUAGGCCGGAUCUGGAAGCCCUGUGAGGGGUGGAGGUGACCGGUACUAAUAGGCCGAGGGCUUGUCCAU